AACAUAUGUGUGGAUACCAUGGCCUUGAGAUCAUUGAUGCAUGUGCGUCCGAAGAUGACAUUGUAUGCCGUUGGGCAAUCAACCACCAGGAAGUUAGUGGUAAUGGUAGCUGUGUAAGGGCCUGUACCAAUGGUGAAAGGUAAGUGUAUGCUCUCCAAAGGUUGCACGAUAUCACCGGAGAAGCUUAUCAGAGGGGAAAUCGAGCGAUCGAGCAAGUGUUCAGCUACA
rnacentral:lncRNA from 1 species